CCUCCUCCUCCUCCACAUCUUCCUCCACCUCGUCGCUGCCCACAAUCACCGCCUCGAUCUCCUGCUGAACCACCUCCUCUUCCUCCUCCUCGGCGGGAUGCUGCUCACACUGAACGCGGUUGGGAAUCAUACAAAAAAGUCUGAGAGUCUUUUAGGUGCUGAGAUCCACAUCCAACCUGACAGACCCUGAGAGCCUCUCUAGAGACAAAUGGCAGGAAAUCGCCACAUCCAGGUGUGUGAAGCUCGUCACGUCGUACUCAAGAAAACUCAAAGAUGUAAUCGUUGCCAAAGGGGCUUCAACAACGUACUGACUGUGGGGACAAACAGACGUACCUGCUGUGGUUCCUCCAUGACAGUGACAUACUCCACUAUGUUCCCUCCACCGUCUGACACUACCACAGAAGUCAUUACUCAUUCCUACCAAAAUAAAAGCACAGCGGGUCAGGACGGGGAAUGUAGCACUCAUGAUACAGGUGAAGGAUUUAGAGAAAAAAAAAACUAAUUUAUAUACCA